GGAACACACAAAGUACAUGCUGGUGUGGCCGUGUCAAAGCUGGGACUUGAUUAAAAUGACUUCAUAAUUGAUCAGCAGAAUAUUGAAAUUGAUCCUGUAAGCAGUGAGGACAGUGGGGACGUGAUACUUUAAGUGACGGUCUCUCCCGGAACCUUUAAGUUGGUGUUCGUAUCCCCGGGGACUCUUUUGGCCGAACACCCUGGAGGAGACACAGGAUGGACAGGUGAAGCAGAUCAUCCACAACCGCACCUGGCAGAAGACAACACCCGUCACCAAUCACUACUCAUCAAUUUCACCAUGGUUUGAAAUGUUCAUCCGCAUCACAUAUUCAAUAAAGCUCAUGUGCAAAUAUGCAAUGUGCAAACUGCUCUGAGCAAAUAAUGCUAAUAAAGUGCAAC